CCGUGCUAGACGGGGAGCUAGCGGUGCCCUGUAGCCCGCAAUCCGCUAUAGCGGGGUUGAAUCCCUGUCCGAGGUGUACGUUCUCCGGGGCCUGACCGGCGCAAGUGGUGCUGACGGCUCGGUCCCGCGCAACGACGAUCUGCCGAACCCCGUCAGGUCCGGAAGGAAGCAGCGGUAGGCAACCGUCGUCGUGUGCCGCGGCCAACCGGGCCCGAGCUGGCUACGCGGGUAACGCUUGGAGGCGUAUAUCGGAGACGGGUGCACGG
rnacentral:SRP_RNA from 1 species